rnacentral:rRNA from 1 species
GACGAACGCUGGCGGCGUGCCUAAUACAUGCAAGUAGGACGCAGUUGCGAACGGGUGAGUAACGCGUAGGUAACUGCCUCUUAGAGGGGGAUAACUAUUGGAAACGAUAGCUAAUACCGCAUACUAGUAGAUGGACCUGCGUUGUAUUAGCUAGUAGGUAGGGUAAUGGCCUACCUAGGCGAUGAUACAUAGCCGACCGGGCAGGGUGAUCGGCCACACGGGGACUGGGACACGGCCCCGAGCCGGACGGGAGGCAGCAGUAGGGAAUCUUCGGCAAGGGGGGGAACCCUGACCGGGCAAGGCCGAGGGAGUGAUGAAGGUUUUCGGGUCGUAAGGCUCUGUUGUUAAGGAAGCGGUACUUAACCAGAAAGGGACGGCUAACUACGGGCCAGCAGCCGCGGUAAUAC